rnacentral:rRNA from 1 species
UUGCUGGAGCGGAUAGAAGUAAGCAUGCAGGCAUGAGUAGCGAUAAUUAAGGGGAGAAUCCUUAACGCCGAAAACCCAAGGUUUCCUACGCGAUGCUCGUCAUCGUAGGGUUAGUCGGGUCCUAAGUCGAGACUGAAAAGUGUUUACGAUGGCAAAUUGGUUAAUAUUCCAAUACCAACAUAUAAGCGCGAUGUGGGGACGCAAAUUUAUUGUUUGCCCGGUGGUUUCCGCGGGU